CAGGAUACAGGAACUGGGAGAGAGCUGAGUAAGCAUGAAAAGAUCACUUUUAGAGUCUCCAUUACUGCCUCUGCCUCCAGUCCCAGCACUGCAGAAACACAGACGAGAGAGGAGAGUUAUGGAUUGAGCGACUUAUCGCUGUCUCUAUUCAUUUAGUGUUUCCCCUGCUGAUAUUGAAGGGUCGUGACGGAAAGGACUUUGUCUCAUCUGGUGAAGUGGUUUGGCUAUGUCCCCACCCAAAUCUCAUCUUGAAUUCCUGUGUGUUGUGGGAGGGACCCAGUGGGAGGAUUGACCUUUUAGUGGACUGAAUUAUCUACUCAUUUUCAAUUAAGUUUCCAUAUGGCAAAUUGAAGCUGACCCUGUUACAAUUAGAAAACUACACAGAAGAAAAGAGGCCAUAAAUACUGUGAGAGAAAUUGUAUUUUUGGAUGUUGUGUGUUUAUAUUUCUCCAGCUCCCCACAGAAAGAAAGAAAAGGAAAAGAAAAAAGAAAGAAAUGCAGAGCUGUUAAAAUAUGUUGGGUAAAAUGGGCAAUCAGUUAACCUACAUAACUGUAAAUCCCUCUCCUACCAUAGGUCUCAUUUGUUCCAGUAUCCUCCAUCAUUGAUUUGGUUUCCUUGUGUAGACUCUAAAAAGAUUUUAUUAAGGUGAUAAAGUUUUAAGAAGAUUUAUUGUUAUUAAGAGGCAAAAAAUAUACCUCGGUGAUAGGGUGAUCUGUGCAGCGAACCACCAUGGCACAUGUUUGUCUAUGUAACAAACCAGCACAGUCCUUCUUAUGUACCCAUGAACUUCAAAUAAAAGUUAGAAAUAAAAAAGUUAAAAAAAAAACACCACCACCACCACCACCAACAAAAAGAGAAUAGAAAAAAUAUUAACCUCAAAGAAAGUAAACCUGGCUUUAUGACUGAGUCCUGCACCUGCUCACUUGGAUAAGUCAUUUAACCUGCCUGGAUCUCAGUUUUGUCAUCUCUAAAAUAAGAAUAAUAACACUUCUGUUACUAGGGGGUGUUCAGGAUUAAGGGCCACAAUAUACAUGAUAGCUGUUAAAACUGACAUGAUGGUAUUAAGUUUUGCAUCUGUGAUAAACUAAUUACUCAUAAGAAUUUUUUUUAUUUUUAAAAUUGUCUUAAAAUUUUAGUCAUUUAAAGUGUUUAGGAAGCAUUUGAUAAAGACCAAAUAGGCACAGUAGUGUAUUCCCUAAGGGAAAUGUCUUGAAAAAAACUGGAAUAAUUGCACUGGUCUCUUAGCCUAGUCAUGCUUCCCAGCCUGUGUCAGAGUCCAAUUCUGUAUGACUCUCAAAUUCAUCUCAUCCAUUAGUAAAUUAGAAGAGUAGACUGAAAGGGAGAAAGCUUUCUCCUUUCCCCAAAAUAUCUCCUUCACCAUCUAGUCAUAGAACUACCAUUUCCCACCAAUUUGUGAAAUGUAUUUCAUUGUAAACACAAAUUUGAGGGGCAAUUGAUGUAUUGAUUCAUGUGUCCUGGGGUGACAGGGGUCAGCAAGUGAGCAGACCACACUGGUAAUUAGGUAAUUAGCAUGUAAUGAAAGGUUUUCUUGUCUUUCAUGAAGACUUCUUUCUUCUCUGUGUGAAAUGCACAGAUUUAUACAGUCACACCCCAAAACAAAGACAAAAAACACUUCAGGUUUGACUGAAUGCAAUGUCACAGCACAAAAAUUAGAAAGCUAUUGAAGUAUUUUUGAAAUGUAGACAAUUUUCCCCUAACAAAGAACAAAGGAAAUUUGCCCGAAUGUCUAUUUCAUCAGCUGAUUUUUUUUUUACAAGCAGAAUUUUGCAAACAGCUUAGUUUGAAAAUUUGAGAUGAUUGUUGAUUUAAUAUUUUUGGGCCAGUUUUCAGGUUUUCUUUUGCACUAAACAAUUACAAACGUUUUUCUUAUUUUCAGCACAACCCUCUAAGACUAACUGUGCCACUCAUUACUGUAUUACUUCUGAGCUCCAAAGUCAUCCUUUGUUACAUGCUUUGCGAUAAUGGAGCUUUACCCUUUAAGCAUUUUUCUUUUGCUGUGGGCAUGGUAUUAAGCUUUGUCAGAAGAGAGCAGUGGAGGGACAGUGAAGGAGGAUGGGACUCCUCCUCUUCUUGGUUCCAUUUGUGUUUUUUCUCAAUGCAUGGCUGGCAGUGGCAUGUUAGAUGGAGACAGCCAGGAGUGCUCUGCCCAAUUGUGUGCUUGAAGUGAGUUUGAAAUCUCAGCCCUAGCCUAGUAGUCUGCUUUUGAGAUCUUUCCAAGGUCAACACUGUGUUUUCCAGGCUUCAUGCUACCCAGCCAAUAAGUGAACUACUGAUACUCCAAUGCUCCCCUUCCUCGGCUCACCUACACUCCAGGAGGUUGUUUCUCAUGGCCCUCAUGAAUCAGACAAUGUAUAUUGUACUGCAGACCUCACACCAUCAUGCAGGUCAAUGAGCUCCCCAUGCUCUAACUCCAUCCACAUAGUACCCACUAGACGUGGCCAGUCUGUAUUUGGAAGAAUAUUUCUUGCUUGCCCCAUGAUUAUGAACCCGCUCUGGCUCAGGAACACCAAUGAAAUUCCUCACUAUCCAGUCAGCUGUGACCGUAUCUUCUCCAACAAGAUCUGAACCUCAGACUUGGAGUGGGGCCCUCCUUCCAAAUUUGUUCUUCUCUUGGGUAUUCUCUUCUCCUUCACCUUGAGAUAUUCCUUAGUUUUCUUUACUCCUGUGUAGUCACUUACCUGCUAUAGGUAAUAAUUGUUUACAUUAAACUUUUCCUGUUAAAUUACAAUUGCAAGGUCAACCUUUUGUUUGGUCACUCUGAUAUUCUACACUAAUACAGAAUUGGUAUUGAGAUGGAGAGUAAUCCCAGUUUAUAGACUUGCAAAGAUGGGGUUUUGAAAUUGGUUUGGUUUUGCCCUUGGACAUGAGCACAAAGCUGAGCUCUUCUCUAAUAGAAAGUGGGAUGUUAGUAAUUCAUGGUAUGCAGGGAUAUCAUAAUCAAUCAUACUAUAACCAGUGGUAGAUUGCCAUGAAAUGUGAACUACAGUGAGUGUCUUGGAUGCUCAGGAGGCUGCAGUUGAGUUGACAAGGAUGAUAAUAAUGACAACUUCAAGGACUGUGGUAUGGGGGGACUAAUUUUGAUUGAACCUGAGUACCUAAGACAGGAAAAAGAUAAUCUUAGGUUCCUUAGCACUCAGCUUAAGUCACAGUUUCAGAACUGUGGAGAUUUCAUAAUGGCCCUAAAAUUUGUCUAACCACUAUUAGGCUCAGAACUAAUAUUACUGAAAACCAAACAUAAAAUUUAGUGUACAGUUUGCUGAAUUACAGUAACAGUUGACUUCGCAGUCUGGUCAGGUUUCUCAUGUGAAUGUUAGAACAUUGAUUGGAAAAUAAUGAGGUCCUGAAUCUUGUAAUUUGUACAUAUGGCUGAGCUCAGAAAAAACCCCAGUAAUUUUGGCCACAGAAGUCAUUCUGAGUUUCUUUCAUCAGUGGAAGUAGCUUGCCUUCCAAGAUCUGAGGAAACUAGCCUUACUCUGCAUGAAAAGCCCGUGAUAACCUCACUGGGAGAAGACACCAUAUCCUCCUCCAGAUGUAUCACAACCACCUCCUGUUGCUACUAGACCUAUGGGCUAGGGUAACAUAUCACCACGCUACAGGAGACAGUGAAAACAGGACAGCCCAGGAAGGGAUGGCUUACAUUAUGAAGGCAUUGACUUUUCGAACAUAUAUCAGCAAAAAUCUGCAGAAAAUUUCUAAGGGUCUUUGAACAAAGAUGAUAAAAUACAACCCUAGAUUUGGCUGAAUUUCUUUGGUACGAUGCGCUUACUAGAGACUUUAGAUUUAUGUUUUAGUUUUGCAGUUGUGGGUAGCUCUAACAGCUUUACAGAAACUUGAAUGCAAUGGUAGUCUACAUUUAAUAAGACUGAGAUUCCAGACCUUCCCUGAAAUGCUGUGGAGAAGACAACUCAAAGAUUUUGGAGAUAAUGGAAUUGAUGGACUGGAUUUGUUAUGUGUGAUCUGCGCAUUUACUCCCCAAUUAUGUUUCAUGAGAGAGCCCAGAAAAUAUGCCCUUCCCUUUUGAGUUUAAAAAUGUGUUAGUAGGGGGAACGAUUGUAUCCUUGAAAAGUUUGGUCAUUGCUGUCUUUCGUAUGACUGUGGCUAUGGGCUCCCUGAUUUCAGUGAGGCUGAGGGGAACCCAUAGGAGCAGAGGCCAAGCAGCAGUACUUAAUCACCAAAGACAAGGUGGCACACCUAUCAUAGGGACAGCAGGAAUAUAUCAGCAAUCAAGAUUUCUCUGCCAUGUUUCGGUGGAUAAUUGAGAAACUAGAUGGGCAGCCUACUAGAGUAUUGCAAAAAAAACAAGAAAUCACAGGGAAAAUUCUAUCUCUGAUAGCCAAAAAUCUGACUUGAAUUCGUCCAAUAAACAGUUAUAAUUUUAUAAAAUAGUUGAGAAAAUACAAUUUUUACAGACUGUGGUCCAUAUUUGUACUCCAUAAGGAUGUCUACCAAAUGACAGUCAAUGCAGAGGAGGCUUUUAAUAAUGAGGUGGAUGAAGUGACAUGCUGACUAAAUAUCAGUUGGCUUCUUGUAACAGCCACCCAGUGCUUGCACAAGGAUACAUGAACAAAGUUGCCAUCAUGACAGGGACGGAAGCUAUCAUGGACUUGCCUUCACCAAGGCUGACCUGGUUAAUUGAAACUCAGUCAAGAGCAGUGAGCAACAAUCAUCCAGAGACUUAGCACAAACCCAAGAGGCCCCAGUCAGCAGCCUGGUGGCACAGUGAUGAGUACAGUAGAUCUUGUUCAUUGUGAGGGGAACAGAGAUUGGUCCUCAGUAGAGUGUCUUCCCUUGCCAUAACACUUUUUUCAGAACUACUAUUUAUUGACUCAAAAAAAUGGCUUUCCUGCCAUCCUGGCAUUCUGCACAGCACAGAAUAUGAUAAAAUAAUUUAGUUGCAAAGUAAGAGAAGCCAUGUACUUAAGUCUAUGAAAUGAACUCAUCACAUAUCCCAUCACCUGGAAGCAGCUCACCUAAUUGAAAGGUGAAGGACUUGCCAAAAUAUAAGACUACUGAAGACUCAGUUAUGGUGCCACUUGGGAAAAAUGCCCCAAAAGAAUGGGGUUUACAGGAUAUAGUACAUGCUUUGAAUCAGAGGCCAUUAUGUAUGGCUCUGGGAAUUGAGAUGUGGCAGGAGAGGGGCAAAUCCCACUGUUACACCUCAUAACCGACUCACAAAAUUUUUGCUUUUUGUCCUGGCAACUUUGAACUCUGCUGGUUUAGCAGUCUUAGUUCCCUGGGGGGAAAUGCUUCCACCUAAAGAUACAAAAAUAUUUCUACUACAUGGGAAGACAAGACAGUCACUUGGUUAUCUUGGGCUCUUGAUGCUACCUAACCAACAGCCCAUGCCCUCCCACAAAAUAAAACAAUUACUCUAUUAGCUGGAGAGAUUAAUCUUAAUUUGAUCUUCAUUAAUAAAGAGAAACUGGUU